rnacentral:rRNA from 1 species
AUGAAUGCUGGCGGCGUGUCUAAGGCAUGCAAGUCGAACGGGUUCGUCAUUGUAGCAAUACAGUGACGGUCUAGUGGCAAACGGGUGCGUAUCACAUUGGUAACCUGCCUCGUAGUCGGGCAUAAGCCUUCGAAAGAGGGUCUAAUUCCACGAUGGUCUCAACAGCGUAAAGCUAUUGAGUAAAGUCGCAAGACGCUACGAGAGGGGCCUAUGGCCUAUCAGCUAGUUGGUGAGGUAAUGGCUCACCAAGGCUAUGACGGGUAGGGGAUGUGAGAGCAUGAUCCCCCUCACUGGGACUGAGACACUGCCCAGACACCUACGGGUGGCUGCAGUCGAGAAUAUUCCCCAAUGGGCGAAAGCCUGAGGGAGCGACGCCGCGUGUGCGAUGAAGGCCUUCGGGUCGUAAAGCACUUUUGCCGAGGAAGAAUCAUGACGGUACUCGGAGAAUAAGAGGUUGCUAACUCUGU